rnacentral:rRNA from 1 species
AACGCGAAGAACCUUACCUGCUCUUGACAUACAUCGAAGCCGACAGAGAUGUUGGUGUGCCGAAAGGAACGAUGAUACAGGUGCUGCAUGGCUGUCGUCAGCUCGUGUCGUGAGAUGUUGGGUUAAGUCCCGUAACGAGCGCAACCCUUGUUCUUAGUUACCAACACGUAGAGGUGGGGACUCUAAGGAGACUGCCGGUGACAAACCGGAGGAAGGCGGGGACGACGUCAAGUCAUCAUGGCCCUUACGAGCAGGGCUACACACGUGCUACAAUGGCGGGUACAGAGGGGAGCGAAACAGUGAUGUGGAGCGAAUCCUAAAAAGCCCGUCGUAGUCCGGAUUGAAGUCUGCAACUCGACUUCAUGAAGUCGGAAUCGCUAGUAAUCGCGAAUCAGCAUGUCGCGGUGAAUACGUUCCCGGGCCUUGUACACACCGGUACUA